CCCAGACUCCUACGGGAGGCAGCAGUGGGGAAUAUUGCACAAUGGGGGGAACCCUGAUGCAGCGACGCCGCGUGGGUGAAGGAGUACUUCGGUACGUAAAGCCCUAUCAGCAGGAAAGAAAAUGACGGUACCUGACUAAGAAGCCCCGGCUAACUACGUGCCAGCAGCCGCGGUAAUACGUAGGGGGCAAGCGUUAUCCGGAUUUACUGGGUGUAAAGGGAGCGUAGACGGCAGUGCAAGUCCGGAGUGAAAGCCCGGGGCUCAACCCUGGGACUGCUCUGGAAACUGUAAAGCUGGAGUGCGGGAGGGGCAGGCGGAAUUCCUGGUGUAGCGGUGAAAUGCGUAGAUAUCAGGAGGAACACCGGCGGCGAAGGCGGCCUGCUGGACCGUAACUGACGUUGAGGCUCGAAAGCGUGGGGAGCAAACAGGAUUAGAUACCCGUGUAG
rnacentral:rRNA from 1 species